rnacentral:tRNA from 1 species
GUCUGGCUGGCUCAGUCAGGGGAGCAUGUGAUUCUUGAUCUCGGGGUUGUGGGUUCGAGCCCCACACUGGGUA